GACGAACGCUGGCGGCGUGCCUAACACAUGCAAGUCGAACGAAGCUCCCCGAUACAAAGGCUUCGGCCAAGUUGAAGGGAUGACUUAGUGGCGGACGGGUGAGUAACGCGUGAGGAACCUGCCUUUCAGUGGGGGACAACAGUUGGAAACGACUGCUAAUACCGCAUAAUGUUUCUGGACCGCAUGAUUUGGAAACCAAAGCUUUAUGUGCUGAAAGAUGGCCUCGCGUCUGAUUAGAUAGUUGGUGAGGUAACGGCCCACCAAGUCUACGAUCAGUAGCCGGACUGAGAGGUUGAACGGCCACAUUGGGACUGAGAUACGGCCCAGACUCCUACGGGAGGCAGCAGUGGGGAAUAUUGGGCAAUGGGGGAAACCCUGACCCAGCAACGCCGCGUGAAGGAAGAAGGCUUUCGGGUUGUAAACUUCUUUUACCAGGGACGAAGGACGUGACGGUACCUGGAGAAAAA
rnacentral:rRNA from 1 species